rnacentral:rRNA from 1 species
UACGUAGGGUGCAAGCGUUGUCCGGAAUUAUUGGGCGUAAAGAGCUCGUAGGCGGCUCGUCACGUCGGCUGUGAAAACCCGGGGCUCAACCCCGGGCCUGCAGUCGAUACGGGCGAGCUAGAGUUCGGCAGGGGAGACUGGAAUUCCUGGUGUAGCGGUGAAAUGCGCAGAUAUCAGGAGGAACACCGGUGGCGAAGGCGGGUCUCUGGGCAACAACUGACGCUGAGGAGCGAAAGCGUGGGGAGCAAACAGG